CCAAAGGGACUAAUAGAACUGCUAACUCUAACACCUGAAAUUAAAACCUCAGACCCUUU
rnacentral:tRNA from 1 species